AUGAUUGUGACUCUUUGGGCAAUCUGGGCUGCAAGGAGGAAGAUAAUCCAUGAAGGAAUCUACAAAACACCUUUCUCAACUCAUGUGUUCAUCACGAGUUAUAUCUCAUAUUUACAGCUUAUUCAAAAACCCGUGGUGACAGGGCCAACAACACGAGCUCCACGCCCAACUUCAGGGCUACCUCCUCCGGAAGACCACGAGAAGAUUAAUGUCGACACGGUAGUCUCACGCGCUGGCCGGUUUGGGGCGGUGGGAGCGAUUUGCCGGGAUAGCACAGGGGAUUUCAAGGGCGCAUCUGCAAUCAUUUUCAGGAACAUCGAAGAUCCAGAGGUUUUGAAGGUACUAGCCAUCAGAGAAGCACUAGCAUUGGCUGAUGACUUAUAUGAGCAGAGAAUUUUCGUUGCGUCUGACUGCAGGACUGCUGUUGAAGCAAUUAAAGGGGGAACAUCGGCGUCUUAUGGAGCGGUGGUGCAUUCAAUAACAGAACGAGCUAGGUUUUUUACUUCUUGCACUUUUAGUCAUGAAUUUCGGACCUCGAACUUCGAGGCACACAACCUCGCGAAGCAUGCAUUAACGCUGGGGACCGGCCGCCAUCUUUGGUUAGGCCACCCCGGUGAUCUUUUGUUCGUCCCUGUAAACAUUGUGACGGUUUAA
rnacentral:rRNA from 1 species